rnacentral:rRNA from 1 species
CCUACGGGUGGCAGCAGUGAGGAAUAUUGGUCAAUGGACGAGAGUCUGAACCAGCCAAGUAGCGUGAAGGAUGACUGCCCUAUGGGUUGUAAACUUCUUUUAUAAAGGAAUAAAACGAGGCACGUGUGCCUUUUUGCAUGUACUUUAUGAAUAAGGAUCGGCUAACUCCGUGCCAGCAGCCGCGGUAAUACGGAGGAUCCGAGCGUUAUCCGGAUUUAUUGGGUUUAAAGGGAGCGUAGAUGGGUUGUUAAGUCAGUUGUGAAAGUUUGCGGCUCAACCGUAAAAUUGCAAUUGAUACUGGCAGUCGUGAGUACAGUUGAGGUAGGCGGAAUUCGUGGUGUAGCGGUGAAAUGCUGAGAUAUCACGAAGAACCCCGAUUGCGAAGGCAGCUUACUAGACUGUGACUGACAUUGAUGCUCGAAAGUGUGGGUAUCAAACAGGAUUAGAUACCCGUGUAGUC